ACCACAAACAGAAAGCUGAAUGUAUGGUCACAAACCGGACCAGGAAAGCGAACACAGUUUUAUGCUUAUUCUCUGAAUGGACUAGUUCUUGUAUUGCUUAGGCGUGCAAACGAACAACACUGCUUCAACCGUGUCAUGUUUGAGGGCUCCUGUGUGCACGGCCCACUUUAGACAUGCUUUGAGGCAUGUAGAAGAUUCCUGAGGUCCUCUCACCAGCAGAUUAACUAUCCCAAAGCCUAGGAUGAAGAGACUUGGAAAGGCAGCAUUUUGUUUCAAGUCCUCCAGCCUCUGGAACAACUUAGGGAUGGAACGGUGGACAUAAAACAUGCUAGUGUUUUACUUUUGGCUGACCAGCUUAAACCUAUAUUUUUAAAAUAUUAGAUGGCAAAAUGAUUCCCUACACUAUACAUUAGUUUUUCAUAGAUGUGUUUGACUGGGAGAUUAUAAUGACACUUAUAAUUAUCAUUUAAAGCCAGUCCUUCUGUUUUCCUACUGAUAGUCUUGUGCAUUUUAGGAUGUGCUUUUCUUUGGAACAGAACGUAUUUCUGGAUAAAUAUUGUGAACCAGCAUUAUUCCACUAUAAAUGCAGAUACAGUUCUGCUUGCAAGCAAGUGAACAC